rnacentral:rRNA from 1 species
GAUGAACGCUAGCGGCAGGCUUAAUACAUGCAAGUCGAACGGUAAGGUCUCUUCGGAGAUACACGAGUGGCGCACGGGUGCGUAACGCGUAUGCAACCUACCUUUAACUGGGAAAUAGCCCCGAGAAAUCGGGAUUAAUGUCCCAUACUAUUCUGAGAAUGCAUAUUCUUAGAAUGAAAGCUCCGGCGGUUAUUGAUGGGCAUGCGUGACAUUAGCUAGUUGGUGAGGUAACGGCUCACCAAGGCUACGAUGUCUAGGGGUCCUGAGAGGGUUAACCCCCACACUGGUACUGAGACACGGACCAGACUCCUACGGGAGGCAGCAGUAAGGAAUAUUGGGCAAUGGACGCAAGUCUGACCCAGCCAUGCCGCGUGAAGGAUGAAUGUCCUAUGGAUUGUAAACUUCUUUUAUGCAGGAAAAAUAUCUCGGUCGUGAACCGGGACUGAUGGUACUGUAUGAAUAAGCAUCGGCUAACUCCGUGCCAGCAGCCGCGGUAAU